rnacentral:rRNA from 1 species
AGAGUUUGAUCAUGGCUCAGAGUGAACGCUGGCGGCAGGCCUAACACAUGCAAGUCGAACGCAGCACAGGAGAGCUUGCUCUCUGGGUGGCGAGUGGCGGACGGGUGAGGAAUACGUCGGAAUCUGCCUAUUUGUGGGGGAUAACGUAGGGAAACUUACGCUAAUACCGCAUACGACCUUCGGGUGAAAGUGGGGGACCGCAAGGCCUCACGCAGAUAGAUGAGCCGACGUCGGAUUAGCUAGUUGGCGGGGUAAAGGCCCACCAAGGCGACGAUCCGUAGCUGGUCUGAGAGGAUGAUCAGCCACACUGGAACUGAGACACGGUCCAGACUCCUACGGGAGGCAGCAGUGGGGAAUAUUGGACAAUGGGCGCAAGCCUGAUCCAGCCAUGCCGCGUGUGUGAAGAAGGCCUUCGGGUUGUAAAGCACUUUUGUUGGGAAAGAAAAGCAGCCGAUUAAUACUCGGUUGUCUGACGGUACCCAAAGAAUAAGCACCGGCUAACUCGUGCCAGCAGCCGCGGUAAUAC